rnacentral:tRNA from 1 species
GCCUGGAUGGCUCAGUCGGUUGAGCGACUGACUUCGGUUCAGGUCAUGAUCCACGGUCUGUGAGUUCGAGCCCCACAUCGGGCU